rnacentral:rRNA from 1 species
AUACGUAGGUCCCGAGCGUUGCGCGGAGUCACUGGGCGUAAAGCGUCCGCAGCCGGCUCCGUAAGCGGGAUGUCAAAGCCCACGGCUCAACCGUGGAACGGCAUCCUGAACUGCGGAGCUUGAGGCACGCUCAGGCAGGCGGAAUUCCCGGGGUAGCGGUGAAAUGCGUAGAUCUCGGGAGGAACACCGAAGGGGAAGCCAGCCUGCUGGGGCCGUACUGACGGUCAGGGACGAAAGCCGGGGGAGCAAACCGGAUUAGAAACCCGAGUAGUCC